ACGAACGCUGGCGGCAGGCCUAACACAUGCAAGUCGAGCGCACCUUCGGGUGAGCGGCGGACGGGUUAGUAACGCGUGGGAACGUACCCUUUUGUACGGAAUAGCCUUUGGAAACGAAGAGUAAUACCGUAUACGCCCUUUGGGGGAAAGAUUUAUCGGAGAAGGAUCGGCCCGCGUUAGAUUAGAUAGUUGGUGGGGUAACGGCUUACCAAGUCUACGAUCUAUAGCUGGUUUUAGAGGAUGAUCAGCAACACUGGGACUGAGACACGGCCCAGACUCCUACGGGAGGCAGCAGUGGGGAAUCUUAGACAAUGGGCGCAAGCCUGAUCUAGCCAUGCCGCGUGAGUGAUGAAGGCCUUAGGGUCGUAAAGCUCUUUCGCCUGUGAUGAUAAUGACAGUAGCAGGUAAAGAAACCCCGGCUAACUCCGUGCCAGCAGCCGCGGUAAUACGGAGGGGGUUAGCGUUGUUCGGAAUUACUGGGCGUAAAGCGCACGUAGGCGGAUUGGAAAGUUGGGGGUGAAAUCCCGGGGCUCAACCCCGGAACUGCCUCCAAAACUUUCAGUCUAGAGUUCGAGAGAGGUGAGUGGAAUUCCAAGUGUAGAUGA
rnacentral:rRNA from 1 species